ACCGUUACAAAACAUAAUGAAGGAUACAAUUCAUUGUGAAAGUUCAAAGGUAUUUAUCCCAACCUGUAGCAUAACUAUUGAAUUUCACUGCA